ACUUUACAGCCACUCAAAUAUGCCGGUAAACAAAGAUAUAGCAAAAAAACUUGCCAUUGUGGGACCUUGCAGAUAUACAUCAGACUACAAGUUUGGGCUCAUUUCUUUCGACUUUGUGCUCUGAAAAGUGCGAGACCGUGUGGUAGUUGGGGGGGUUGGGGGGGGGGAGAAAAAAAAGUUCCCAAGUUGGUGCGUCUGCACACAAAGUUGAGCACAAAGAAGAGAGGAGCGCUCCUUUGUUCACCGGGGAGCCUCGGGGUACAGAGGACGAACAGCAACGCCGCUCCUGUCCGGCAUCAUGCAAGCGUGCCGAACGUCUGGAUGGUCAACGUCGUAAGACGGAGGGAAAACAAGUUUCUUGGACUGAGUUGGAGAUUUGCCGCAUACGUUAUUUGGAAAGCAUGGUUUUGGGAGUUUGGGAACUUCCUCACAAUUUUGGAAUUACAAAACAGAAGAAAGAAUGAACUGUGGAUUGUGAUUUUUUGGUAAAUAACUUUAUGGCGCUCGAUAAGACGGAUAAUUGAGGUUUUAAUGAAACUCAGUCGAAGUGAUUCCGGGGGAAAGCGGGAAUCUGCCGGCAGUCACAGAAACGUGAGCCCCCCGCCACGCCGUCCGAGGGAACUCGUUUCAUACACAGAAACAUGAAACUGCUUAACCUGGCCAGGAUCACGGGGAGAUGAGCUUCCCUCACCGAGCAGCAGUGAGCUGCAGAUUCCUGGAUCCUGUGGGCAGUGUUGAGGUCACUGCCAAGGAGCUGCUGGUUGUAAUUCUGCCGUGUGGUGGUGGUCUCCACACACCCAGCCGGACAGGUGACCCGCGGCUGUCACCGAGAAAGGGGUCCGUGUCGUGCCCGUGAAGAGGGUGUCAUGUGAAGACCUGCUCUGUGGCAGCAAUCACAAGUGUCAACCAUCCGGGUCAGUUAGGGUGUGCAGGUACUGACUCACAUAAAUAAAAUAGUGUUAAUAUUAAUAAUAAUUAUAAUAUUAUUAUUAUUAUAAUAAUCGAUAGACAUUGGUAGAAGAUGAAAGUCCUCCAGAUAUGAAAGUUCCCCUUGAAAAUUCCUCAGAACCGUUGCCCAUGGAGAUUGGGGUCACAUUUCUACAUGUCCUGUCCCUUAAUGGUGGCCCCUGGGAGCCCUCUUUUCAGCCAGGUGACGUGAUGCAUUUUUACAGACAUCCUGCUAUGCCUUUUGCCUUAUUCACGUACUGUGGCACCGGCAGGCGCAGCUUCAGCCACAAGCGGCUUGCCGUUCAGAUGUCCGUCAGAGGUCCACGCAGAGAGGCCCCCUGUUGGUCACAAACAGUCCCUACACUAAAUAUGAAAAAGGCACAUUCCUUAUAUUGGGGAUGCUGAAGGGACAUAUUCAGCUAGCUAUGAUCGUUUGACUAUGGUUGCAGGUGGGGGCGGGUGGGGGGGCUGAAAUUAUGUUUUGGGUGGGGCACUUAAAAAAAACAAACCCACCCCUGACUGCAGAUUACAGAUGUGGGCUGAGGCCCGCUAACAUCCAGACCUCCCACCUAUUUUUUCCAGUGGGCUUUGAUAAAAGCUGACUUUUAUGUUUGUGGCCCCAUUAAUUAUCUUUGUUGGCUGGGCUAUAGCACAUCACACCGUGGGACACAUGUUAAUCUCAUGUGCCUGACAGAUGACUGAAGGAGCUGCUUUAAAGUCACGUGUGCCGUUAAUUUCCGUUUCCUGGAAGAGUAUCGGUAAGUCACACAGCAGCCUGUUACACAGCCGCCUCAGGCAGUGACCUCUUUUUAUUUUUAAAUAUGAAACUAAUCGAAAAACGGUCACCCUGAUUAUUAUUAAUAUUUCAUGGGUCUGGAGCCAUAGAAAUUAUUUGUCUGUUUUUAGUAACCAAUUGGGACUGCAGCGAUCCUCAGAGAUACAUCCUGGAUGGGACUGAAGGGCACACACACCCACACACACACACACACACACACACAAACACACACACACACACAAACACACACACACACACAUAGGCCUAUACUCAUAUCUUUGCGAGGACUCUCCAUUCAUUUCUAUGGGCAAAUCCCUAAUCCCAUCAAUGAUGCCCUUAACCCCCACCCAGCCCUAACCAUAACCCCCACCCUGCUCUAACCUUAACCAUAAGUAACCAAACUAAAUACGAGCCUUUUGGCAUUUUUAGUUUUUUGGUUGCAGUCACAGAUUUUUAUAAAAUUGAAUUCCCCCUUGUGGAGACUGAAUAAAAUCUCCCCAGCCCGUCAAAAUAACAGGUUUUUAUCACAUUGUGGUUUCCACAAUAUUAUUUUCAGCACUCUCCACAAUUAUUGGCACCGCUUGUAAAAAUUCAUAAAAAGGGUUAGAAAAAAAAUCUACCUUUCAGUGAAGUAGCUUCAUCUGACAUUGAAAAAAUGAGAAAAAUCCCAAUUUUCUUUGAAAUAAAUUUAUUCAAACAAAAACAGAUCCUUCAUCAAGAAAUUAUUAUUUUCAAUAAAAACACGUGCCACAAUUAUUUUCACCUGUGCAUUUAAUACUCUGUACAACAUCCCUUUGCCAGUAUUAGAGCAUUGAGUCUGCUCCUAUAACAUUUUAUAAUGUUGGAGAAUACCAAGCAGGGCAUCCGAGACCAUUCCUCUUUACAGAAUCUCUCCAGACCAUCCAGGGUCCUAGGCUCUCUCUUGUGCCCUCUUCCCUUUAGCUCCGCCCACAGGUUUUCAGUGGGGUUCAUGUCAGGGGACUGAGAUGGCCAUGGAAGAAGCUUGAUUCUGCGAUCACCUAACCAUUUUUUUUCAUUUGGACAUGUGCUUAGGAUGUUUUUAAGUGUCCUGCUGGAAGAUCCAGUGAUGGCCCAGUUUUAGUUUCCUGGCGCAGGCAGCAAAAUUUUGAUUUCAAAUAUCUUGGCAUUUCAUGGAGCCCAUAAUGCCAUGUACCACAACAAGGUUUCCAGGGUCUUUGGAGGAAAAACAGCCUCACAACAUCACAGAACCUCCACCAUAUUUUAGUAGGGAUAAGGUUCUUUUUACUACAGCCAUCCUUCUUUUUGCACCAAACCCACCUUGAAUGUUUAUUACCAAAAAGCUUUUUGAAAUUUUUGUUUCAUCAGACCAUUGAAUUUUGGUUCCAGUCAAAGUUGUAAUAGUCUUUCACAAACUCCAGGUGUUUGCGUUUGUGGUUAACUGACAAAAAAGCUUUUUUUCUGACAUACCAUCCAAAUAAUCUCUUAGAAUGAAUGGUGGUGUCUGAUGGUUUUUUCUGAGACGUGGUAACCCUAAAAAAAAAUUUUACAUUGUCUUGUAGUUCACCACCAGUGAUCCUUGGGGAUUUUUUGCCUCUCUUACAAUCUUCAUCACUGUAUGUGGAGGAAAAAUAAACUUCCAGUUGUUGUCCACUUUUUUAUUUCCCUAAGUGUAGAAAUGGGCAUUUUCAGGCGAGUAACUAUUUUUCAUACCCAUUCCCUAACUUAUGAAGGUCAACACACUUCUCCCUCAUUUGGUUCAUAUGUUCUCUUUUCUUUGCCAUGUUGAAGGAUUACUAAGGGAAUUUGGGAUCCCUGUCACCUCAUGUUUGUACCCCAGUUAAUCAGGAAGUCAUGGAUGACAGCUUGAAGAUUGCUUUUCACUCCAAUCAACUCAAAGAUGUACAAUUUACAGGAGAAACAUGCUUCACUUACAUUGUGUUCACUAUAAUUCCUAUGGGUGCCAAUAAUUGUGGCACAUGAAUUUUUGUUAAAAAUAAUUAUUUCUUGAUGAAGAAUUUGUUUUUCUUUGAAUAAAUUUAUUUCAAAGAAA